rnacentral:rRNA from 1 species
UAGGGAAUCUUCCACAAUGGGCGAAAGCCUGAUGGAGCAACGCCGCGUGAGUGAGGAAGGCUUUCGGGUCGUAAAGCUCUGUUGCCAGGGAAGAAUAAGGAUCAUUUAACUGAUGAUCCGAUGACGGUACCUGAGAAGAAAGCCCCGGCUAACUACGUGCCAGCAGCCGCGGUAAUACGUAGGGGGCAAGCGUUGUCCGGAAUUAUUGGGCGUAAAGCGCGCGCAGGCGGCUCUUUAAGUCUGGUGUUUAAGUGCGGGGCUCAACCCCGUGACGCACUGGAAACUGGGGAGCUUGAGUGCAGAAGAGGAGAGCGGAAUUCCACGUGUAGCGGUGAAAUGCGUAGAGAUGUGGAGGAACACCAGUGGCGAAGGCGGCUCUCUGGACUGUAACUGACGCUGAGGCGCGAAAGCGUGGGGAGCAAACAGGAUUAGAUACCCUGGUAGUCCACGCCGUAAACGAUGAGUGCUAGGUGUUGGGGGUAUCAUGCCCUCGGUGCCGAAGUUAACACAUUAAGGCACUCCGCCCUGGGGAGUACGGUCGCAAGACUGAAACUCAAAUGAAUUGACGGGGUCAUGAGCUGUUU